rnacentral:rRNA from 1 species
UACGUAGGGAGCAAGCGUUGUCCGGAAUCAUUGGGCGUAAAGCGCGCGUAGGCGGCUCGAUAAGUCUGUUGUGAAAGUCAAAGGCUCAACCUUUGAAUGCCGAUGGAUACUGUCGAGCUAGAGUCCGGAAGAGGCGGGUGGAAUUCCUGGUGUAGCGGUGGAAUGCGCAGAUAUCAGGAGGAACACCAACGGCGAAGGCAGCCCGCUGGGACGGUACUGACGCUGAGGAGCGAAAGCGUGGGGAGCGAACAGG